GUCUUGAGCCCAAGGCCCAAGGUUCUCCCACAUUUUCCCCAUGUACAGUUCUCUUAAAGAGAGGAUAAAGAUACCAAAAAGGCUACAGCUGUAAACUCCUACCAUCUCAGAGGUAUCCUGAUGUCAAAAUGAGGCAUAUGGUGUAUUCAGAUGGAUGCCUGUAGACAGCAAGUAACUGUGGUCUUGGUUCCAAGGCAUCAGUAAGGUUCUGCCACUUCAAUGUGCAUAGAGGAUAAGGAUGGCAAGGAGACUAUGGCCAGAACCUUAGAGAACUCUCAGGUAGAGUCAGGGGCUGGUACCUCAUUGGGCAUCACGUGGACCUCUGUAUCUAGUAGUGCAGCGUUCAGUGCCUUCUUAGUAUCAAGAGGAAGCACAAGGUCUUGUGAACCUAUGCCAGCGACAUUGUGCAUUUCAUAAUAGUCCCUGUACAAGAAGAGGUGGAUCAAGAGGUCAUUUU